AUUGAACGCUGGCGGCAUGCCUUACACAUGCAAGUCGAACGGCAGCAUGAUCUAGCUUGCUAGAUUGAUGGCGAGUGGCGAACGGGUGAGUAUUACAUCGGAACGUGCCCUGUGGUGGGGGAUAACUAGUCGGAAGAUUAGCUCAUACCGCAUACGACCCGAGGUUGAAAGUGGGGGAGCUCAAUGCCCCAUGCUAUAGGGUCGGACGAUGUCUGAUUAGCUAGUUGGUGCGGUAAAGGCUCACCAAGGCGACGAUCAGUAGCUGGUCUGAGAGGAAGAUCAGCCACACUGGGACUGAGACAGGGCCCCGACUCCUACGGGAGGCAGCAGUGGGGAAUUUUGGACAAUGGGCGAAAGCCUGAUCCAGCAAUGCCGCGUGUGUGAAGAAGGCCUUCGGGUUGUAAAGCACUUUUGUCCGGAAAGAAAUGGCUCUGGUUAAUACCUGGGGUCGAUGACGGUACCGGAAGAAUAAGGACCGGCUAACUACGUG
rnacentral:rRNA from 1 species